GAUGAACGCUGGCGGCGUGCCUAAUACAUGCAAGUCGAGCGAACAGACGAGGAGCUUGCUCCUCUGACGUUAGCGGCGGACGGGUGAGUAACACGUGGAUAACCUACCUAUAAGACUGGGAUAACUUCGGGAAACCGGAGCUAAUACCGGAUAAUAUAUUGAACCGCAUGGUUCAAUAGUGAAAGACGGUUUUGCUGUCACUUAUAGAUGGAUCCGCGCCGCAUUAGCUAGUUGGUAAGGUAACGGCUUACCAAGGCAACGAUGCGUAGCCGACCUGAGAGGGUGAUCGGCCACACUGGAACUGAGACACGGUCCAGACUCCUACGGGAGCCAGCAGUAGGGAAUCUUCCGCAAUGGGCGAAAGCCUGACGGAGCAACGCCGCGUGAGUGAUGAAGGUCUUCGGAUCGUAAAACUCUGUUAUUAGGGAAGAACAAAUGUGUAAGUAACUAUGCACGUCUUGACGGUACCUAAUCAGAAAGCCACGGCUAACUACGUG
rnacentral:rRNA from 1 species